AGCCAUUGAAUUAGUUAUAGGAGCAUUGGUUGGGAAGGGAAGGAGAUCUGAACUUCCCAGCCUUCUUGCCAGGAGAUUUAGAGCCCAAGGUUAUGUGACUAAUUCAAUGAUGCUGCAGUUCCCAAAAUAUAAAAUACAGACCGGCAUAACCGUCGGUAAUAUCACGAAGGUGUCGUCGGAAAAAUUACCGAGAGCGUUUUACCGAGGACUUCCUGAUCGUCAAUAAGUCCGGAAUAAUAUACAAUUAUCCACGGUCUUAUGAAGUUAUAGAGGGCUUUUGAUCCUGGAUAAUAACCAACUUUUUUUUUGUAGUGUUAGGUCUAAACUAGAAAUUGUGAGGAAAUAGUCUAUUGUUCACUUAUAUGCUCACGAUGAUUGAUAAUUCUUGUUUUAAUUGGUUGGAUUCA